ensembl:lncRNA
UCUGGAAAUUCUUAUCUAGGGUUUGCAUGCAUGUGUUGAGGCCAGGAAAAUCAGACCAGCCCAGCAGGCUUAGUGAGGGCCUGGUAGAAGGGAGGGGAGGAGAGACAGGCUGGUAGAUUUCAAGCCAGAAGACCUGCAUUCUUUAUCUGCUUUCUUCUGGAACUGCAAGAACCCAGCAGGACCCAGGGGCAAGCAGCUUAUUUUUAGAAAGUGCUUCAAGUCCUCCGCCAGCAUAUGCAGGCAUGAAGAGAAGAGCUUUCUGGCCCAAUCAAGAGGCUGCCAGCAUCCCCAGAGGGAAGAGAGUGGGAAGGGGCCCCCUGGUCAGGACUGGCAGCCUGGGGCCUCUGGCUGAGGAUGCUCUCCUGCUACUGCUCGGCCAAUGAGCCAUCAGAGGAAGCGUGGAUAUCCUAGCCACUUAAGAGGAGAGAAGUUCUAAGUGGAUUGCGUUUCGUUCAACCUUUAAUGAAGACGCACAGCACAUAUGGGUCCAGGGAGCAGAGAGACACAACCGAGCUGUGGAGAUGGUGAGGCGGUGAUCCACCCAUGACAGUCGUCAGUAACUCAGCACAGCCCUUUUCCUGCGGAACUAGAAGCAGCCUACGGGCCCUCUCAGCAAAGCCACUACAUUGGAUGAGGACUGGCUCUCAAGAGGGGACCUAUCUGCUAUCCUGAUAGUGGUGUGUGCUCUGGCCCAGCUUCUGUGCUAAGUUUGGAAAACAAGGCAUGAAUGAAAGCUCCUGAACUCUAGAAACACAUAACUGGGGGAAAAACAAACACCUGGGGGGCUGAGGGGCCCCUUCCUGCCUGCCUCCCUGACUUGGGCCACCUGCUGCCUGGUGUUGAAAAUGAGAUGCUUUUCAGCUCAGGAAACCAAGCAUGCAGAACCAUAGGAGACACUGGGGGUCUACCGCAGAGUCCCCCAUCCCCCAUGAGGCAAGCUCCCUUUCUCCUCAUAUCAGGACCCCAAGUCUCUCCUCUGGGGACCCUGUCACUCUGGGCUGCAGGCUGUGCCCCUUCCCCACCCCAGGCGGGCCCCCCUUUGCCUCAGUGCCCACCUUCUCCUGCCCUCAUACUAGAAGCGACCAGGUUGCAGCGGACUUCCUGAAAGCCGCUGGAUGUGAGAGUGCUUGGGAAACCCGCACCGAGCUGCUCCAGGGACUGCCUUUGAGCCAUUCUUUGCGUUGGUAAAGCUCGGCUUCCCCGGAGGCUAUGGUGUGCUGGAACGCUGUGCCCUCAGCAGUCUCUUCAGUUCCUCCAGUGUGCAUUUCAGGGCCCAGGGGCCAUGUGCACACAGCCAGCAGCCUGGGGAGACCCUUGUCCAGGGCAUCCUCACAGGGGAUCCUACAUGAGCAGCAGGGAACCUGGAGCAUGUGUACAAGGAGGAGACAGUGUUGUAAUAUCUUCAUUUAUGCUGUGCUCAGCACAGCCCCAGGCACUUUUUAUUACCUUUGUCAUCAUCCUCAAACAUGCAGGAAGCCCCUGCCUGGGGCACAUGGCUUAUGUUAUGUGGCAGCUGCAGUCCUGUGGGAGAGGUUAUUCACAUAAAGUGACAAAUGCCAUCCAACAGCUUCUGUGCUCAGAGCUGGAUCAAUAGGACAGACACGCACAAGCCCACCCAAGUUCUGGUAAGCAUAUCAACAAAAAUAAAGUCAGAAUCUGAAUCAAAUUCAGGAGGAGAAGGGGGUGACAGAGAAUGUGAUGGUUGGAUAGCAUCAUCAACUCCAUGGAUAUGAGUUAGAGCAAACUCCAGGAGAUAGUGAAGGACAGGGAAGCCUGGCGUGCUGCAGUCUACGGGGUCACAAAGAGUCAGACAGGACUGGGAGACUGAACAACUUAAUCAAGUAUCAGUUUAAGUAUCAAAUAUAUCAUAUCAUACUUAAUCAAGUAUCAUAUAUCGACAGUUGGUAUUGCUUUCAGAUUCCUUAAAAAGCUAAGUUGAUUCCUUUGGACCCCAGGAGCAAAGAAUUACUAGGCAAAGUUUUUCAACUUCUUUUUUUGUAAAAAGGCAGUAAAUCAUUUUAUAUUUUAAAUAAUGAUUACUUUACAAAUAUCAAGUUUUUAAGCAUUUGCCUUAAAAAUAACAUUCUAUCUAUCAGAGUCUGUGAUCUGGACUUUUUUUUUUUUUUUAAUAAUGGGAGAGAUUUAGCUCAGGGAUUAAACUAAGAAACCGAUGGAAAUUUGGCAUCUGGUUGUGUCCACAUCUUUGUCAACUCACCGACUCACACAGAACAUCAGCUGCAUCCCCCUCUUUCUCCCAGUACAG